GAUGAAGAACGUAGCGAAAUGCGAUACGUAAUGCGAAUUGCAGAUCCAGAGAAUCAUCGAGUCUUUGAACGCACAUUGCGCCCCCCGGCACUCCGGGGGGCUUGUCCGACCGAGCGCCGCAGCGCCGCCCAGGCAGGCCACCUGCCCGGUGUUGGGGCAUGGCCGCGCCCCCCGCGCGGGCAGCCCCCAAAUCCAGCCGCGGCCGCCCGCACCCAGCGGCCCCCAGGCGCAGUAAACGUCCACCACGAACGGUGCUGCCGCCUAGGGGGUCCCCCGCGACGGACCGCUGGAAGCCAGCGCCCAUCCCCCCGGGGAGGGCGAGAAUCGUACCCGGUUGGCCUCGGGUCGGACAAGGUUACCCGCUGAACUUAAGCAUAUCAAUAAGCGGAGGA
rnacentral:misc_RNA from 1 species